rnacentral:rRNA from 1 species
CCUACGGGUGGCAGCAGUGAGGAAUAUUGGUCAAUGGGCGCGAGCCUGAACCAGCCAAGUAGCGUGAAGGAUGACUGCCCUACGGGUUGUAAACUUCUUUUAUAAAGGAAUAAAGUGAGGCACGUGUGCCUUUUUGUAUGUACCUUAUGAAUAAGGAUCGGCUAACUCCGUGCCAGCAGCCGCGGUAAUACGGGGGAUCCGAGCGUUAUCCGGAUUUAUUGGGUUAAAGGGAGCGUAGAUGGGUUGUUAAGUCAGUUGUGAAAGUUUGCGGCUGAACCUUAGAAUUGCAAUUGAUACUGGUAGUCUAGAGUGCAGUUGAGGUAGGCGGAAUUCGUGGUGUAGCGGUGAAAUGCUUAGAUAUGACGAAGAACACCGAGUGCGAAGGCAGCAUACUAGACUGCAACGGACAUUGAUGCACGAAAGUGUGGGUAUCAAACAGGAUUAGAUACCCGAGUAGUC